UUAAGUUCAGCGGGUAACCCUACCUGAUCCGAGGUCAAACCAUAGAAAAUAAUUAGGUUGACGGCAGGUCGCCGCCGGGACCCGAUGCGAGACUGAAAGUUACUACGCAUAGGACGCCGCGGCGGGACCGCCACUUCAUUCCGGGGCCUACGUUUUACUGUAGUGCCCCAACACGAUCCACUAAAAGCGGCUCGAGGGCU
rnacentral:misc_RNA from 1 species